UUUUUUUUUUUUGUGUGCGCUGUCUCUUUCUUCUUCUCUUCUUCUUCAAAUGUUUCCCCAAAUCCCUCCACUCACAUAAACCCUAGAAUAUCAAAUUCUCUCUAUCCACUAAUCCAGCUUAUUCCUUUCGACUCUAAAUCAUUCACCCGAGUAAAAAGCUUCGUUUUUCCUAAUCUCGUUUUUUCUAAUCCUUAUGUACUUCAUCUUCUACUUUGAACCGUCGUUUAAAGUAUUACUCAUUCUCACUUUCUCCGCCCAUGGCUGCGCUAC
rnacentral:lncRNA from 1 species